CCUACGGGAGGCAGCAGUGAGGAAUAUUGGUCAAUGGGCGCGAGCCUGAACCAGCCAAGUAGCGUGAAGGAUGACUGCCCUACGGGUUGUAAACUUCUUUUAUAAAGGAAUAAAGUGAGGCCCGUGUGCCUUUUUGUAUGUACUUUAUGAAUAAGGCUCGGCUAAAUCCGUGCCAGCAGCCGCGGUAAUACGGAGGAUCCGAGCGUUCUCCGGAUUUAUUGGGUUUAAAGGGAGCGUAGAUUGGUUGUUAAGUCAGUUGUGAAAGUUUGCGGUGCAACCGUAAAAUUGCAAUUGGUACUGGCAGACUUGAGUACAGUUGAGGUAGGCGGAAUUCGUGGUGUAGCGGGGAAAUGCUUAGAUAUCACGAAGAACUCCGAUUGCGAAGGCAGCUUACUAAACUGCCACUGACAUUGAUGCUCGAAAGUGUGGGUAUCAAACAGGAUUAGAUACCCUGGUAGUC
rnacentral:rRNA from 1 species